rnacentral:rRNA from 1 species
UACAGAGACUGCAAGCGUUAUUCGGAUUCACUGGCGUAAAGGGUGCGCAGGCGGCCGUGUGUGUGAGGCGUGAAAGCCCGGGCUUAACCCGGAAUUGCACCUCAACUACAUGGCUAGAGCAUUGGAGAGGUAGCAGAAUUCAUGGUGUAGCAGUGAAAUGCGUAGAUAUCAUGAGGAACACCGGUGGCGAAGGCGGCAUCCUGGACCGAACACU